GAUGAACGCUGGCGGCGUGCCUAAUACAUGCAAGUCGAGCGAACAGACGAGGAGCUUGCUCCUCUGACGUUAGCGGCGGACGGGUGAGUAACACGUGGAUAACCUACCUAUAAGACUGGGAUAACUUCGGGAAACCGGAGCUAAUACCGGAUAAUAUAUUGAACCGCAUGGUUCAAUAGUGAAAGACGGUUUUGCUGUCACUUAUAGAUGGAUCCGCGCCGCAUUAGCUAGUUGGUAAGGUAACGGCUUACCAAGGCGACGAUGCGUAGCCGACCUGAGAGGGUGAUCGGCCAAACUGGAACUGAGACACGGUCCAGACUCCUACGGGAGGCAGCAGUAGGGAAUCUUCCGCAAUGGGCGAAAGCCUGACGGAGCAACGCCGCGUGAGUGAUGAAGGUCUUCGGAUCGUAAAACUCUGUUAUUAGGGAAGAACAAAUGUGUAAGUAACUAUGCACGUCUUGACGGUACCUAAUCAGAAAGCCACGGCUAACUACGUG
rnacentral:rRNA from 1 species